GCUUAGCCGUAAACUUUGAUAGAUCUAUCCGCCCGGGUACUACGAGCAUUAGCUUAAAACCCAAAGGACUUGGCGGUACUUUAGAUCCCCCUAGAGGAGCCUGUUCUAUAACCGAUAACCCCCGUUUGACCUCACCCUCCCUUGCCCGCCUAUAUACCGCCGUCGUCAGCUUACCCUGUGAAGGCUUAAUAGUAAGCAAAAUUGGCACUGCCCAGAACGUCAGGUCCAGGUGUAGCGCAUGGGAGGGGAAGAAAUGGGCUACAUUCGCUCGAGGGCUGAAAGAAGGAGGAUUUAGCAGUAAGUGGGAAAUAGAGUGUCCCACUGAAGCCGGCUCUGAAGUGCGC
rnacentral:rRNA from 1 species